GCGGGGCGGGAAGCGAGCGAGUAGCGCGCGGGUGGAUUCUCUCAGCGUGGAGGUCGCCUCAGGGCUGAACGAGAAGUUGCUUCUCUCCCUGCGAUAGGAGGGGGCUGUCGUUUGCCGCCCCCCUCCUCCCCUCAGCAGGCGAACAGCAGCCGAAACGGUCAUUUUCAUGAAACCGCCCCCGUCCUGCCGAGGCUCAGCGCGCCUCCAGCCUUGCUCUGAUGCUGAGGGGAAAGCUGCCGUGCCGCAGCGGAGGUGUGGUGGUCCGGGCAGCGGCUCUGAGGCUGGGCAGCGGUGCUGUAAACAUGACUAGCCAAAGGAAGACCUUAGAAAACAACUCAAGGAAGCUAUGAAGGCUGUUGAGAAAGCAGAGAAGCCAGCUGGACCGAUUAUGAGAUGGAGGCACAGAGAUUUACCUAACAGUGGCAUAUUGAAGAUUAUGAAGUCAGGAGUUGAACUUAGAGGAAACUCUAGAUCUCUUCAACUCCAUCAUAGGACAACACAAAAG